rnacentral:rRNA from 1 species
AACGAACGCUGGCGGCAUGCCUAACACAUGCAAGUCGAACGAACCCUUCGGGGUUAGUGGCGCACGGGUGCGUAACGCGUGGGAAUCUGCCCUUUGCUUCGGAAUAACAGUUAGAAAUGACUGCUAAUACCGGAUGAUGUCGCAAGACCAAAGAUUUAUCUGCCAGGGAGGAGCCCGCGUAGGAUUAGGUAGUUGGUGGGGUAAAGUCCUACCAAGCCGACGAUCCUUAGCUGGUCUGAGAGGAUGAUCAGCCACACUGGGACUGAGACACGGCCCAGACUCCUACGGGAGGCAGCAGUGGGGAAUAUUGGACAAUGGGGGCAACCCUGAUCCAGCAAUGCCGCGUGAGUGAUGAAGGCCUUAGGGUUGUAAAGCUCUUUUACCCGGGAUGAUAAAGACAGUACCGGGAGAAUAAGCUCCAACUAACUCCGUGCCAGCAGCCGCCGUAACAC